rnacentral:rRNA from 1 species
UACAGAGGAUGCAAGCGUUAUCCGGAAUGAUUGGGCGUAAAGAGUCCGUAGGUGGUUAUGUAAGUCUGUGGUUAAAGCGUGGAGCUCAACUCCAUAAGGGCCAUAGAAACUACAAGACUAGAGUAAGGUAGGGGUAGAGGGAAUUCUCGGUGUAGCGGUGAAAUGCGUAGAUAUCGGGAAGAACACCGGUGGCGAAGGCGCUCUACUGGACCUUAACUGACACUGAGGGACGAAAGCUAGGGGAGCGAAAGGG